AUGGGGUGUGGGGUUGAUGACGGGGCAUGGGGUUUAUGACAGCUUGUGUCAGACGAAGCCACAUCAACUCAUUCUGAGCACCCCUUUCCUCAAAACAUAAGGAUGAGCAUGACCAAAAUCUCAAGACAUUUUUCCUAAGUCCUUAAGAUGGAUGAACUUCUACAGGUAAGUAGGUAGAUUAAUAAACAGAGGUAAGGAAUGUUGGCAUGAAGAAGCUCCCUAGGCCACUGUGUGGCUGAAGCUCUGACUGGUCAUGCUGGUUAAGGAUGCAUCUGAGCAAGAUCGGUCGCUGACAGUUCAGUUUCUUCCUGGUUGACCUUGUGGGUGUGAAUGUUGUCACAGACCUGCCAGGCCAUCUUUCUGCAAGAAGAUAAAGGAAGACCAGGAGUGCCUGCCGAACUCCUACGGAGGAAGUCUAGGAGAGGAAGGGACAGGGAGGAAGAUGGUGUCUGCAAACCAGGAAGCAGCCUUGCCAGACACAGGAUUGGCCACAACCUAGACCCCAGACUUCCAGCCUCCAGAACUAAUUUCCCUGCACAGGCUCUCUUGCCUGCCACCAUGUAAGACCUGCCUUGGCUCCUCCUUCACCUUCCGCCAUGAUUGUGAGGCCACCCCAGCCAUGUGGAACUGUGAGUCCAUUAAGCCUCCUUUUCUUUAUAAAUUACUCAGUCUCAGGUAUUUCUUCACAGCAUUAUGAAAAUGGACUAAUACAGAUGCAGCUAGCAUGAGGGAACUGUCCUUGCCAACUUGGAGUUGUUCUCAGAAACUGCAGUAACUCGAUAUUGGGAACAGAAAUGCACUACCCUGAGGUCAGGGACUUUAGGAUACAGUCCCGAAGCUUCUGUUGCCUUCAAUGCCUUCACUGACGUGGGAUUUAGGGAUUCAGAGUCCUGAAGCUUCUGUUGCCCGGGUAAGCCCUCAGUGCCUUCACUGACAUGCACAGAGCUGCUCUUGCCGUGAAUGGAUGCUAUCCCAACCAGGAGGCCUGGAAACUGCGGCUUUGCUGUUUUGAGUUUAUGGAAGGAGUCCUUGGUGACCCUCACAAUCUGGAGGCUGAGAGUCCAAGGUCAAGCAGCUGGUUCCUCUGGAGGCUCCAUGGAAGAAGCCCUUCCAUGCUGGUUUCCUUCCUCUGGUGUUCCUGGCAACCCUUGGUGUUCCUUGCCUGGUGAAUGAAUCACCCACCUUUGCCUCCGUCUGUCCAUGGUGUCAUCCCUGUGUCUCUGCCCAAAUCUCUCUCUCCUUAUGAGGACACCGAAUGGAUGACCUCAUUUCGACUUGAUCACAUGUGCAAAGACCCUAUUUCCAAAUGAGGUCACAUUUUCAGGUGUGAGGGUUAGAACUUCAACUAUCUUUUUGGGGGACACAGCACCAUCCACAGCCGUGAGGACAUUGGACAAAGCCCAACUUGGACCUGACUCGGGUUGUCGGGGAGGGGCACAGGGAGAUUUGCCUUUUUCCUGUUUUGGCAUUUUCCACGUAACUCAUAUUUGCUACUUUAGAGGAACCAUUUAUGGAAAACUACAGGAUAAAGGAAAAACAAAUGGUGGAGGAAAGGAAAUCUGUCAGCAAUCAGAGAGAUUGUUAAUUUCCUUGAUGAGGAGCCAAUUGGUUGAAAGGUGCCUGUAAUUUACAACUUCAGCCUUGGGAAAAAUGUACACAGUUAUUUUUUGGUCUCCAUGAAGGAAACGUUUAGACGGGCACUCAUGGGGCUGAUUACCGAUUCAGAGGAACAUGCAGGGGGCAUCCACCCUCCAGGCGUGGGAAGAGAGAAGCACAUGCUUCCGGGAGGCCAAGGCUGAGCCGGGCUUAGGAGUGUCCUCUCCGGGUACUAAGUUAAUUUUAUGGGAGCUGAAGCCUCGCUGCUUCUCGGAGCCUGGGGAGUUGGGAGCACUGGCCCCGGGCUCUGUGUGGCCUGGAACUGCGACUGCAGCUUGAAAUUCUCGGGCUCAGCUAUGGCGGCCUGUGCCCUUCUCCAGGCAUGGUUUGGGCCGUGUCCCUGGAACAGCAGCUGAGGUCCUGGUGCCAGCCCCAUCACAGACGGCAGGGGACCUGAGACAGACAUGGCCCCCUCUGCCCAGGCCCCCUUGCUGGAAAGGCAGAGGCACAUCUGACCUCUGGGGACCCCACUCUCACCUCGGAGGAUGUUUUAGGCCAUGCUGUGUGUUGCCAUCUUUGGGAAAAACUAGUUUAAUGAAGGAGUCAUGAAUUUGGCGAGGGGCCGCCUCUGCUGACGGUGCUUCCUGAGUCCCUGCCCUUCACUGGGGCACGAGGGCACAUGUGCCUCCGUUGUGCACCUGGGUGGGUGGGGCUGGCCGUGACCGGCUGUUCCAGGUGACACUGCCCUGGGAGAGCUCCUUGGCAGGGCUCUGGGGUGAGCUGGGCAGGGACCCGGGAGGUCAGAGGCCCCUGGGUCUUGGCCAAGCAGCUGGAGAGCUGGUGCUGGGAGUGUGUGUUGAGGGGUAGCACGGGCCGAAGGGCUCCUUCCCACCGGCUCUGUUGGCUCAGCCUCGAAUUGUCUGCAGGGACGCCUGCUGGCCACACAUCACCAUGAGGAUGCACUUGACUGAAUCUGGAAGAAUCCCAGGGCUGUGGAAGAUUUUGGAAGAUAAAAUGCCCCCAAGGAAGCAUUAAUUAAUAAAUGAAUAAAUAUGCCCAGGCUUAACCGAAUUUCCUGCAACAACUAUUCACUGGGCAGGCCCUGGUAGGGUCCUUGCCUUCCCCACACCUGUUUGAAGUGUAGGUCCUUCUCAGAAUAGGCAGAAGGAGCAGGUGGCACUGAUGAGAUGGAGCGGUCGUCACCCACAUUCCCACACCUUACCAGGAUGAGGAUCUCCAAACUGGGGCAGAGCUGGGCUCCAUGAGUGAGCAUUGUGUUGAGAAACCACCCUGUGUAAGUACAAAGAGGCUUGUCCCACAGCUCCUGGUCACCAAAAGCUGUCAGCAACUCUCAUCGGACCUUGGGUCUUGGGCACAUCCCUCCAGCCUCAGUGCCCCGGGAAGGAAUUCACAGAGAGUGGCUGCAACCUCCCAGGGCCAUGUAGAGGCCAAACCAGAGCGACUGUGGGUAGAGCGCCUUGCCCAACCUGGGCCCGGCUACAAGGGCAUCGCAGGCCAGACCCUUCACUCGGCUCUCCCCAUGUGCCCACAUCCUCCGGGAGCUCCGGCUGUCACAGCUGAAGGUAGAAAUCUUCUUACGGUCCCCCACACUGUGUCUGCACAAAGUGAGAUGCUGACUUCCCAACUCACCCACCCGCUGCGCUGGGUCAAGCUGAUAAGAGCAGCCCCUGAAGCCACAGAAAAAUCCUAGGCAUGCCAGGAAAGUGCGAAGCCCCCGGGGGCCCUGGGAUGUGAGCUCUGCGCGUGGAGGUGUGUUGGCUUGGGGUGAUCUUUCCAAUGGACUUCAGAGCCUCCAGGAGACCAGAGAACAGAGCUCUGGGACAGGGGGGCACAGGCGCGGUGUGGGGUCAGCUUGUCUCCCCGAGGAGACUCCGCAGUCCAGAGCUCUGGACAGGUGGGCACAGGCACAGUGUGGGGUCACUUGCCCCCCUCACCCUGGGAGACUUCACAGUCCAGGCAGAACUCACCGGAAGGAAACAAACUCAGGUCUGCCAGGGCACAUUUUGCACUUGCCGUGAGUGUGGUGGUUCUGUUAACAUUCCCGGUAAAUCCGCUGUCCCAUCAGGACACAGGAAGGGAGGUUCCUGGGGCAAGGGCCUUGCCAGGGGCAUGUGACUUCUGGUGGAGCUCCGGGCCCCGCAGGUCUGGACAUGGCUGUAUUCUUCAUUAGUGCCAUCUCUGGGCCAUGUUUCUUUAAAGACGUGACAAAGAGUCUCUUUAUUUUUAUUAAUUGAAUCAUUAAUUAGUUUUUGCAUAGGGAAGUUGCCAGGUUUUAGUUCUUUUAGAGAAUUCUCAGUUUCCCAAAUAGAUAUUAAUGAUCAAAGCUCAUUUUCAGUCAUUGGAGGGGGGGCAAAAGGAGAUGUAAUUGCUAAUUAUUUGGAAUCAUCUGAAUUGCAAUCACUCGAAUGGCAGACGAUUUAUGCAACAGCCUGGAACCUUGAAGCUUGUUUGGAAUUCUUCCAGGUCAAGAGGCUGGGAGGUGCCCUCUGCCUUUCAAGAUCAGAGAGUAGCUGAUCCCCCUCCUGCCGUCAUUUAUGGACUGAAUAACCACAGAGAGUGUGAGGCCGGCGGAAACUUGGCAGUGCCUGUUUGUCAUUUCCCACUGCACUGAGAAGCACGUGUUCUCCAUUUCCCUGGGGGAGACCAUUGUAUUGGGCAGUUUGGAACAAAACAUCAUGGACUGGGAGGCUUACACAACAGAAAUUUAUUUCUUGCUGUUCUAGAGGCUGGGAAGCUCAAGGUGCUGGCUGCAUAUUCAUUCUGAGGCCUCUUCUGAUGUGCAGGCAGCUGCCUUCUGACUUGUGCUCACAUUGGAGAGAGGGAGUCAGCUUUGGUGUCUCUUCUUUGACAGAGCAAGGGAAUGUGUGUGAAUGCUAAUCCAUGCACAUACGUGUCUAUAAAUAUUCUGCAUGGAACCAUCUGUGUCUAUGUCAAGCUAAACUGGAGUUCAUACCAGGGUCUCCAACCAUAGCCCAUCCCCACUGGGGUCCUUCCAGCUCACUCGGCUUCUGGAUGUACGACUCCCACAGGUGGAGGAAGGCCCCCAGAGAAGUCUGCUGAAAAUUGUUAUUCAUGAAUGGAGGUUGGACUUCUUCAGAUACGCUUCCCGAGUCUGUUAACAUGGUGAUGUGACGUUUGCCCUUCAUGUUACUCAUAGGGACUAUUCUGUUAGCUACCAAUUCUGCUGCUUUAAAUAAAAACACCAUUAAAAAACAAAAAGAAAAGAAACAAAUUGUAAUAAAAAUAUUUGCAUACAUAUACAAUCUGAAAGACGUAUCAAAAAAUAAACGUCCUUCGUUUACAAAUCAAAUAUACCUUUUUAAAAAAACAGACAAGACAGACAUUAGACAAAAGGUGAUACAAGAAUGACCAAUAAGCAAAUUGAAAGCGCUCAGUAUCCUCGGCCAUCAGGAAAUGCACAUUCAUCAUAAUGGGAUGCUGCAUGACGCACGUUGAAAUAACUGGAUGUGAAGAUCCUGGCCCCGCCCUGUGCCGGGAGGGUCUGGAACAUCUGGAAUAUUCACGUCGCCGGUGGGGAGGAGGUGCACAGGCACUUUGACCAUAGCGUGGCAGGUCCCCCACAACUAUAUGUACACCUGCCCUGUGCCCAGCAAAAUGUAAAUGUCUUCCACAAAUAGUCCUGGACAGGGUCUCUCAAAGGGGCUUUAACUGUAACAGCCCACACCUGGAAUUGUCCACAGUCCUGGGCGGGAUCACUCACAGGAACAGCCCACACCUGGAAUUGUCCAUCGUCCUGGGCGAGGUCAC
rnacentral:lncRNA from 1 species